rnacentral:rRNA from 1 species
CGCCGUGGCGCAGCUACCAUGCGGUCGAGCGGUAGCACAGGGGAGCUUGCUCCCUGGGUGACGAGCGGCGGACGGGUGAGUAAUGUCUGGGAAACUGCCUGAUGGAGGGGGAUAACUACUGGAAACGGUAGCUAAUACCGCAUAACGUCGCAAGACCAAAGAGGGGGACCUUCGGGCCUCUUGCCAUCAGAUGUGCCCAGAUGGGAUUAGCUAGUAGGUGGGGUAAUGGCUCACCUAGGCGACGAUCCCUAGCUGGUCUGAGAGGAUGACCAGCCACACUGGAACUGAGACACGGUCCAGACUCCUACGGGAGGCAGCAGUGGGGAAUAUUGCACAAUGGGCGCAAGCCUGAUGCAGCCAUGCCGCGUGUGUGAAGAAGGCCUUCGGGUUGUAAAGCACUUUCAGCGAGGAGGAAGGUGGUGAGCUUAAUACGCUCAUCAAUUGACGUUACUCGCAGAAGAAGCACCGGCUAACUCCGUGCCAGCAGCCGCGGUAAUACGGAGGGUGCAAGCGUUAAUCGGAAUUACUGGGCGUAAAGCGCACGCAGGCGGUUUGUUAAGUCAGAUGUGAAAUCCCCGGGCUCAACCUGGGAACUGCAUUUGAAACUGGCAAGCUAGAGUCUCGUAGAGGGGGGUAGAAUUCCAGGUGUAGCGGUGAAAUGCGUAGAGAUCUGGAGGAAUACCGGUGGCGAAGGCGGCCCCCUGGACGAAGACUGACGCUCAGGUGCGAAAGCGUGGGGGAGCAAACAGGAUUAGAUACCCUGGUAGUCCACGCUGUAAACGAUGUCGAUUUGGAGGUUGUGCCCUUGAGGCGUGGCUUCCGGAAGCUAACGCGUUUAAUCGACCCGCCUGGGGAGUACCGGCCGCCAGGUUAAAACUCAAUUGAAUUGACGGGGGGCCGCCACAACCGGUGGAGCCAUGUGGUUUAAUUCUAUGAACCGCAAAAGACCUAAC